AUGGCCCACGCGUACGCUGUGGUUUCUGCACCAUCCGCGCCCACCUGACCACUGCUCGCUAGCGGUGUGGGCC
rnacentral:sRNA from 18 species